rnacentral:rRNA from 1 species
AACGUAGGAGGCAAGCGUUAUCCGGAUUUACUGGGCGUAAAGCGCGUGUAGGCGGUUUGGUAAGUCGAGCGUGAAAGCUCCCAGGCUCAACCGGGAGAGGACGUGCGAAACUGCCGGACUGGAGGUAGAGAGAGGCAAGUAGAAUCCCGGGUGUAGUGGUGAAAUGCGUAGAUAUCCGGAGGAAUACCAGUGGCGAAGGCGACUUGCUGGCUCUGCACUGACGCUCAGACGCGAAAGCAUGGGUAGCGAACGGG